UAUGAAACCCAAAAUAUUUGCUGCCUGACC
rnacentral:piRNA from 1 species